rnacentral:rRNA from 1 species
AUUGAACGCUGGCGGCAUGCCUCACACAUGCAAGUCGAACGGUAACGGGCCUUCGGGUGCCGACGAGUGGCGAACGGGUGAGUAAUGCAUCGGAACGUACCUUUCAGUGGGGGAUAACGUAGCGAAAGUUACGCUAAUACCGCAUAUUCUGUGAGCAGGAAAGCAGGGGAUCGCAAGACCUUGCGCUGAUUGAGCGGCCGAUAUCAGAUUAGCUAGUUGGUGAGGUAAAGGCUCACCAAGGCGACGAUCUGUAGCGGGUCUGAGAGGAUGAUCCGCCACACUGGAACUGAGACACGGUCCAGACUCCUACGGGAGGCAGCAGUGGGGAAUUUUGGACAAUGGGGGCAACCCUGAUCCAGCCAUGCCGCGUGAGUGAAGAAGGCCUUCGGGUUGUAAAGCUCUUUCGGCCGGGAAGAAAUCAUAUCAGCUAAUACCUGGUGCGGAUGACGGUACCGGCAUAAGAAGCACCGGCUAACUACGUGCCAGCCGCCGCGGUAACAC